AAAGGGUGCGUAGGCGGCCUGUUAAGUCAGGGGUGAAAGACGGUAGCUCAACUAUCGCAGUGCCCUUGAUACUGACGGGCUUGAAUGGACUAGAGGUAGGCGGAAUGUGACAAGUAGCGGUGAAAUGCAUAGAUAUGUCACAGAACACCGAUUGCGAAGGCAGCUUACUAUGGUUUUAUUGACGCUGAGGCACGAAAGCGUGGGGAUCAAACAGGAUUAGAUACCCGAGU
rnacentral:rRNA from 1 species